GCCAGGUGUGGUGGCAUGCACCUGUAAUCCCAGCUACUUGGGAGGCUGAGGGAGAAGAAUCGCUUGAACCCUGGAGAUGGAGGUUGCAGUGAGCUGAGAUCAUGCCAGUGCACUCCAGCCUGGGUGAAAGAGUGAGACUCUUUUUUUUGAGACAGAGUCUUGCUCUGUUGCCCAGGCUGGAGUGCAGUAGCGUGAUCUCGGCUCACUGCAACCUCCGCCUCCCCGGUUCAAGUGAUUCCCCUGCCU
rnacentral:SRP_RNA from 1 species